rnacentral:lncRNA from 1 species
UGUAAUUUAUUCUUUUAUUUUAUUUAAUUUUUAAAGCAAUCUGGGAUGUAAUCUGUGAUGUGUGUUGCACGUCGAUGGUUGAUCGAUAUGUACAUCAACAAGCUCAACAUGCACGGAUCGAGAUCAAGGGUUGAUUGAAGAUGGAUCAAGGAGUUGAUCACAAUUGGACCAAGGGGAUCAAGAUCGAGUUAAGAGUUGAAGACGAUCUAACCAAUUGACGUGCAUGUGCUUGUAAAAUGACCCCAUCCUAGAUCCAUGAUCAUCACCAGUU